UUGCAAUGUCUUCAUGUUCUUCAGCUUGAAAGAUCUGAUGAUGUGAGCCGAACAGAAGUCAGCAACAACCAUGUUUUGAUUUACCUAGAUAAGGUGACAAAUCAGACUCUGAGCUUGUCCUUCACGGUUCUCCAAGAUAUCCCAGUAAGAGAUCUCCAACCAGCCAUAGUGAAAGUCUACGAUUACUAUGAGACGGAUGAGUUUGCAAUUGCUGAGUACAAUGCUCCUUGCAGCAAAGAUCAAGGAAAUGAGUGAAGACUACGUCAAUGAAAAUGGCUUUGCUGGAGUUCCUGUUCCACAAACUGGGGUCUCCAUGGAAGAAAAUAGUUUUUGUAACUCUGAAGCUUAAUGAAUACACUGUUUUUUCUAGUCAAUCUUUAUCAUGGUAUCUUCAGUCAUUCAAUAAACAUUUAUUACAUUUCCAUAUUAAAUAAAAUUUAUGAAAUAGAAAUUUAUAGCAAUCAAGGGCUGAGCGACUUCAGAAAAUGAAGAAUGUUACAAUGUUGUUGGUCUGAGUAGGCUUCAUGUAGGUGUUACAGGGAAAAGAAGAAAAUAUUAAAUUAUGUACUAAAAUAGUGUAAAAUGUGUUUGGUCAUGGGAAUACCCUUCAAAAAGUCAAAGAGUGCAUUUUAUAAGAAAAGAAAA